rnacentral:tRNA from 1 species
UACCAGGUGGCUGAAGUUUAAGCGAAGGUUUUUUACAUCUUAUAUGAUAUUUCCCUGGUGA